GGCACCAAACCACAGUACCACACGCUCUCCAUCUCAGCACAAAACAGAAUUCUAAUCACUCAAUCAAAAUCAGAUCAGCAUAAAGUCUCCACUGGACCCACAUAUAUUCCAUUCUUGUUCGUACCGUAUUCCUUUUCCUGUACGGUACUUGAUUCCAAAUACAGAUUUAACUCUGAUAAUAUUUUACGUGUUUGCUUGACUGGUUAAAUUGUAUGCGCUCUCCUCGUUUCACCUUCUCUUCUGCCCUGGGUCACCCCCAAUGUCCUGGGAAAAUCUUGCUCCCUUCCAAAUCUCAGUCCGAUUCAUAGGAAUUAAAAUUACAUUCAACAAUUGUGUUGGACACGACCAAGUUUGAAGUGAAGAGUUUCAAGUGGAAAAUAUAUAUUAAUAAAUAUUCUUGCAUGGAUGGAGAGUACAUCAAAUUGGAGUGAAUUCCAAAUUUUAACAAUGACUCGGAGCUGUCGAGAAUUCCUUGAUCUGGAAAUUCGCAUUGGAUUUUCUGGAAAGAGAAACUACUUGAGUUUUCGGCCAGAGUCACUCAAGUGGUCCGUACAAUCAGCCUGCAGGGUUUCCUGUCAAGUACCUGUGCUUCGCAUUACCAAACUCCACAUUUGUCUUUAUUCGCAUGAAAGAAGAACUUGUGCUGGAUGAUCUGUAAAAACGAUUCCCUUAACCUAUUUUAACAAUGAAAGAGAGUGGAUAGCAUUGGCAUAUGCACAUAAGUAUGCAUAUCAAGUUAAGUAUUGUUAAUAAUAGGAUCCCUGUGCGCCAUGAUUAUUUAUUCGAUGGGACACGUCAUAACAUAAUUUGCUGAUUGCCAACAUUACUAGGAAAGAAUUUCAUAAGGCAAAUAGUUGGCAAUGAUUGUACUACGUAAUUAUUUUUAUACCAGGGGUGUUAUGAAGCUUAUGCAUUUAUACAUUAUAUAUUUAGGUACGUACAGUGAUGCACAUUAACCGCAUCACUUUCGACCUAACGAUAAUCAGCAUGAAAGUGUUGCACAAUCCUUUUGUGUGAGCACAAUGAAAUACGAUGCAUAAAAAAGUGUUGAACGGUUUAGCUGAGCACAAUACCCUCAUCAUCGCCUCUCGUUUUUAAUGCACUAAUAGUUCAUCCUUUUCUCCUCGUAACUUCCUAGAAACUUUUGUGCUGGGAUCGGCUGCCAAGGAUGAGAAUAGCAGAGGCCCAAAUGAUAUGAAAAACUCAAGUGGCUAGCUCUUGCUUAGCUACAAAGCAGCAGGACAAGGAAUAAAGAGGAGAACAAACUCACGAGACGAAACCAAGUAAAAAGAAUUGAAAUCGCCGAGAACUCAGAAACCGGUGACGAAGCCACUUGUGAUCCUUCCUCCAUCCCACUCAUCCCCGUAUUUGCUCAAGAAUCAGGAGGAAUUCUCCUAGAAACUGUUUUACAAUUCAGAUGCCUUAUUUCAACACGAGUAGGAGGGGAUUUAUAUACAAAAUAAAAGUUACAGUUUCUCAAUGAGCUCAAAGUUUCAGGCAGAACUCAAAGUCUUAACUCUUGAAGUUGGUCCUUCUCAAAGAUAAAAGAAAGAGGAAAUGAAACGAAAUAAAGCCAAAGAAAAGGGAGAUAAUGGGAAGAAGAAAGGAAAAACGAACAAGACUCCACUACGAUACAUUCAUAGUUCAUGAAAUGGUAUUGAAACUCGCUCAGCCUCAAUGACAACGUAAAUCUGAACCUGGAAAUUAUUGAAUUGGAAGAGCCAAAAGGAUAGCGUGUGUAUACGAAGAAUAGCAGAGUUUCUGAAAGCAAAGCUGUUCGAAGGACGCGAACGACGAUCCACUUGAAACUUUCCCCUUCUCUCUCUCCCAUCAUCCACGGCUGCCUACUCUCCGAUGCUUCAACCAACGAUCGUUCCUUAUCAUCACUGAAUUACAACCUUCCUCUUGUACUCGUCGUCGGCAAAAAAGCUGGAAACGUUACUUGCUUAUCUUGUAGCAUUAUCAAAUUGUAAACAAUGGUCAAGUUUCUAAGGUGGCUGGUAAUUCGAUAUGUAACGUAGCGUAAUUCAUGAUGGGUAAAUUAAGAUAUUUUCAAACCAACGGAUAAAUAAGUAUUUAGUGUCCGACCCCACUGAAAAAAUUAAUAUAGCCCAAUUUUGUAGAUCUAAUUGAUGGGACAGCGAAAGUAACAAAUACUACUUGAGAACUAUAGAAGACUCUUUUGCAGAAUAUUUUCGUCUCGAUUGUACUGCGUAUCUAUCGUUGAUCGUACAUAUUUAUAAAUGAACUUUAUUCGUUUCCUUCCUUAAAACGUAAACCUGUAUAUUUAAUUUAAUAUAUUUAAUGCAUGUCGCUUAAAACUUUAUGUUCUAAAAUGAAUUUUCAGUCGGGGGCAAACUAAACAAAAAUUCGGCUUGAUGUUUUGAAUAAAAUAUUUUAAGUAAGCACA